rnacentral:tRNA from 1 species
GGAGGGGUGACCGAGUGGUUAAAGGUGACGGUCUGUUGGCUCCGGCCUACGAAGGUUCGAAUCCUUCCCCCUCCACCA